AUUCUACAUUUCAUUCCGGCCUGAGAAACCGGCUGGACGUGAAAAAUGCUCGUGAAUUCUUAUUAGAGAUGGUGACUGUGCCUCGGAGCAGGACAUUGCAUAUUCAUCAGCGUGACGGACCUCAGCUCCCCACCUCAGCAGGGUGAACCUUGCGCUCACCGGGAUGCACGAAUGGUCAGCUCUGGCCUGACGUGGACUCUGUGGGUGGUUGGAGCCCUGGACCUUGCAGAAAACAGGAAAAGACUUCUUGUCUCUCCUUCCGGCACUUUCUCAAGUGCUGUCAAGUGCUUUAUUUUAAUAGUCACUGUAGUUUUCAGGUUACCAUCCUAAUAUAGGCUCAUUGUAGAAAAUUUGAAACUAUGUGGAAAUAUAAAGUUGAAAAUAGGUAUUCCCCCAAAUUCCACCACCCAGGGCUAAACAUUGUUGUAUUUCUUCCGGUCUUUUUUCCUCUGUGUGUAUAUAUUAAAAAAACUAUGAAUCAAUAUAUACAUAUGAAAUUGGGAUCAUAUCGUACCUAUGGUUUUGUAUAUUUUUUCUCCCUUUUAAUGGUAUAUACAAAGCAUCUCUUGUGUCUUUAAGCGCCGUUUGUCAGCAUCAAUCUAGCGCCCGGCCACACACAGCCGUCACGUGGCUGUAGUUCAAUGGAUUUAAUUACCCUCAUUGAUGGACGGUGAGGUGGGGAGUUUUCUAUUUUGACCGUGUACAACGAAAACGUCCCUGGCUUUUUUAAGGGUAGCUUUUUUUUUAAACGUUUUAUUUUAUAUUGGAGUCUAGUUGAUUUACAGUGUUGUGUUAGUUUCAGGUGUACGGCAAAGUGAUUCAGUUAUACAUAUACAUGUAUCUAUUGUUUUUCAGAUUACCUUCCCGUGUAGGUUAUUACAGAAUACUGAGCAGAGUUCCCUGUGCUAUGCAGUAGGUCCUUGUUGGUUAUCUAUUUUAAAUACAGUAGUGUGUAUCUGGUAAUCCCCAACCCCCAAUUUAUCCCUUCCCCCCACCUUUCCC